rnacentral:rRNA from 1 species
AUUGAACGCUGGCGGCAGGCCUAACACAUGCAAGUCGAGCGGGGUUUUCGGACCUAGCGGCGGACGGGUGAGUAAUGCGUAGGAAGCUGCCCGAUAGAGGGGGAUACCAGUUGGAAACGACUGUUAAUACCGCAUAAUGUCUACGGACCAAAGUGUGGGACCUUCGGGCCACAUGCUAUCGGAUGCGCCUACGUGGGAUUAGCUAGUUGGUGAGGUAGUGGCUCACCAAGGCGACGAUCUCUGGCUGGUUUGAGAGGAUGAUCAGCCACACUGGAACUGAGACACGGUCCAGACUCCUACGGGAGGCAGCAGUGGGGAAUAUUGGACAAUGGGCGCAAGCCUGAUCCAGCCAUGCCGCGUGUGUGAAGAAGGCCUUCGGGUUGUAAAGCACUUUCAGCGAGGAGGAAGGGGUGUGUGUUAAUAGUACACACCUUUGACGUUACUCGCAGAAGAAGCACCGGCUAACUCUGUGCCAGCCGCCGCCGUAAUAC